rnacentral:rRNA from 1 species
GAUGAACGCUGACAGAAUGCUUAACACAUGCAAGUCAACUUGAAUUUGGGUUUUUAACUUAGGUUUGGGUGGCGGACCGGUGAGUAACGCGUAAAGAACUUGCCUCACAGCUAGGGACAACAUUUGGAAACGAAUGCUAAUACCUAAUAUUAUGAUAAUAGGGCAUCCUAUAAUUAUGAAAGCUAUAAGCGCUGUGAGAGAGCUUUGCGUCCCAUUAGCUAGUUGGAGAGGUAACGGCUCACCAAGGCGAUGAUGGGUAGCCGGCCUGAGAGGGUGAUCGGCCACAAGGGGACUGAGACACGGCCCUUACUCCUACGGGAGGCAGCAGUGGGGAAUAUUGGACAAUGGACCGAGAGUCUGAUCCAGCAAUUCUGUGUGCACGAUGAAGUUUUUCGGAAUGUAAAGUGCUUUCAGUUGGGAAGAAACAAAUGACGGUACCAACAGAAGAAGUGACGGCUAAAUACGUG